rnacentral:rRNA from 1 species
GACGAACGCUGGCGGCGUGCUUAACACAUGCAAGUCGAACGGAAAGGCCCUGCUUUUGUGGGGUGCUCGAGUGGCGAACGGGUGAGUAACACGUGAGUAACCUGCCCUUGACUUUGGGAUAACUUCAGGAAACUGGGGCUAAUACCGGAUAGGAGCUCCUGCUGCAUGGUGGGGGUUGGAAAGUUUCGGCGGUUGGGGAUGGACUCGCGGCUUAUCAGCUUGUUGGUGGGGUAGUGGCUUACCAAGGCUUUGACGGGUAGCCGGCCUGAGAGGGUGACCGGCCACAUUGGGACUGAGAUACGGCCCAGACUCCUACGGGAGGCAGCAGUGGGGAAUAUUGCACAAUGGGCGGAAGCCUGAUGCAGCAACGCCGCGUGCGGGAUGACGGCCUUCGGGUUGUAAACCGCUUUCGCCUGUGACGAAGCGUGAGUGACGGUAAUGGGUAAAGAAGCACCGGCUAACUACGUGCCAGCAGCCGCGGUGAUACGUAGGGUGCGAGCGUUGUCCGGAUUUAUUGGGCGUAAAGGGCUCGUAGGUGGUUGAUCGCGUCGGAAGUGUAGUCUUGGGGCUUAACCCUGAGCGUGCCUUCGAUACGGGUUGACUUGAGGAAGGUAGGGGAGAAUGGAAUUCCUGGUGGAGCGGUGGAAUGCGCAGAUAUCAGGAGGAACACCAGUGGCGAAGGCGGUUCUCUGGGCCUUUCCUGACGCUGAGGAGCGAAAGCGUGGGGAGCGAACAGGCUUAGAUACCCUGGUAGUCCACGCUGUAAACGGUGGGUACUAGGUGUGGGGUCCAUUCCACGGGUUCCGUGCCGUAGCUAACGCUUUAAGUACCCCGCCUGGGGAGUACGGCCGCAGGGCUAAAACUCAAAGGAAUUGACGGGGCCCCGCACAAGCGGCGGAGCAUGCGGAUUAAUUCGAUGCAACGCGUAGAACCUUACCUGGGUUUGACAUGGAUCGGGAGUGCUCAGAGAUGGGUGUGCCUCUUUUGGGGUCGGUUCACAGGUGGUGCAUGGCUGUCGUCAGCUCGUGUCGUGAGAUGUUGGGUUAAGUCCCGCAACGAGCGCAACCCUUGUUCACUGUUGCCAGCACGUUAUGGUGGGGACUCAGUGGAGACCGCCGGGGUCAACUCGGAGGAAGGUGGGGAUGACGUCAAGUCAUCAUGCCCCUUAUGUCCAGGGCUUCACGCAUGCUACAAUGGCUGGUACAGAGAGUGGCGAGCCUGUGAGGGUGAGCGAAUCUCGGAAAGCCGGUCUCAGUUCGGAUUGGGGUCUGCAACUCGACCUCAUGAAGUCGGAGUCGCUAGUAAUCGCAGAUCAGCAACGCUGCGGUGAAUACGAUCCCGGGGCU